UACAGAGGGGGCUAGCGUUAUUCGGAAUUAUUGGGCGUAAAGGGUGCGUAGGCGGCGCUGUAAGUCGGGUGUGAAAUCUUGGAGCUUAACUCCGAAACUGCAUUCGAUACUGCCGUGCUUGAGGACUGGAGAGGAGACUGGAAUUUACGGUGUAGCGGUGAAAUGCGUAGAUAUCGUCAGGAAGACCAGUGGCGAAGGCGGGUCUCUGGCCAGUUCCUGACGCUGAGGCACGAAGGCCAGGGGAGCAAACGGG
rnacentral:rRNA from 1 species